AGAGUUUGAUCCUGGCUCAGAACGAACGCUGGCGGCAGGCUUAACACAUGCAAGUCGAACGCAUCCUUCGGGGUGAGUGGCAGACGGGUGAGUAACGCGUGGGAACGUGCCCUUCAGUUCGGGAUAACCCAGGGAAACUUGGGCUAAUACCGGAUACGUGCGAGAGCAGAAAGAUUUAUCGCUGAAGGAUCGGCCCGCGUCUGAUUAGCUAGUUGGUGAGGUAAUGGCUCACCAAGGCGACGAUCAGUAGCUGGUCUGAGAGGAUGAUCAGCCACAUUGGGACUGAGACACGGCCCAAACUCCUACGGGAGGCAGCAGUGGGGAAUAUUGGACAAUGGGCGCAAGCCUGAUCCAGCCAUGCCGCGUGAGUGAUGAAGGCCUUAGGGUUGUAAAGCUCUUUCGUCCGGGACGAUAAUGACGGUACCGGAAGAAGAAGCCCCGGCUAACUUCGUGCCAGCAGCCGCGGUAAUACGAAGGGGGCUAGCGUUGUUCGGAAUCACUGGGCGUAAAGGGCGCGUAGGCGGCUUGAUAAGUCGGGGGUGAAAGCCUGUGGCUCAACCACAGAAUUGCCUUCGAUACUGUCUGGCUUGAGACCGGAAGAGGUAAGUGGAACUGCGAGUGUAGAGGUGAAAUUCGUAGAUAUUCGCAAGAACACCAGUGGCGAAGGCGGCUUACUGGUCCGGUUCUGACGCUGAGGCGCGAAAGCGUGGGGAGCAAACAGGAUUAGAUACCCUAGUAGUCC
rnacentral:rRNA from 1 species